AGACGCGCCAAAAGCGUGAUACCGGACAAUAUCAAGUUAUUUUGUGUAGACAAAACAGUAAACAGUGUCGUCCAGUACAGAUAUGUGAUAUAUUUGAAACACAGCGUUUAAAGAGCGUUUUCAAACUGUAGAUUACCAUAGGCUACUAAGCAACCAGUGGUCCAGGACAGUGAUUCGCAAACAGUGUCUCUUCAAUCCAAAGUGACACAGAUGCAGGGUAAAUCUCUCUUCUGUCGUGAUUGUUUGGUCCAUCAAACACAGGAGUUCAGUGGCCCCACACUGGAUUUCAGGAGGUCUUGAGAGAGAUGGAGGCGUCUCAA